rnacentral:rRNA from 1 species
AUUCCAGCCCCAAUAGCGUAUACUAAAGUUGUUGCGAUUAAAAAGCUCGUAGUUGGAUCUCAGGCAUGGGCGCACGGUCCGCCUCGCGGCGGUCACUGUGUGAAUUGUUUUCCCAUCCUACGCUUCCCGGUUGUUCAGCCCAUGGUGCUCUUCAUUGAGCGUUUUGGGUGGCCGGAACGUUUACUUUGAAGAAAUUAGAGUGUUCAAAGCAGGCACAUCGCCUGAAUAAUGGUGCAUGGAAUGAUGGAAUAGGACCUCGGUUCUAUUUUGCUGGUUUUCGGAACACGAGGUAAUGAUUAAGAGGGACAGACGGGGGCAUCCGUAUUGCGGUGUUAGAGGUGAAAUUCUUGGAUCAUCGCAAGACGAACAACUGCGAAAGCAUUUGCCAAGCAUGUUUUCAUCA